rnacentral:rRNA from 1 species
GACGAACGCUGGCGGCGUGCUUAACACAUGCAAGUCGAACGGAAAGGCCCUGCUUUUUUGUUGUUCUCUAGUGGCUAACGGGUGAGUAACACGUGAGUAACCUGCUCUUUACUUUGGGAUAACUUCUGGAAACUGCGGCUACUACCGCAUAGUAGCUCCUGCUGCCUGGUGGGGGUUGGAUAGUUUAGUCGGUUGGUGAUGGACUCGCGGCUUAUCAGCUUUUUGGUGGGGUAGUGGCUUACCAAGGCAUUGACGGGUAUCCGACCUGUGAGGGUGGACAGGGACAAGGGGACUGAGAGACGGCGCAGAGUGGUACGGGAGGCAGAAGGGGGGAAUAUGGCACAGUGGGGGGACGCGUGAGGAAGAAACGUCGCGGGCGGAAAGAAGGUCUAGGGGUGGUAAACCGCUUAAGGCUGUGACGAAGCGUGAGUGACGGUAAUGGGUAAAGAAGCACCGGCUAACUACGUG